UGAGCAAUCUGCCCUUCUCAUCGGAAUAAGCGUUGGAAACGACGUCUAAUGCCGAAUACGACCUCCUUUCGCAUGAUCGGAGGUGGAAAGCUCCGGCGGAGAAGGAUGAGCUCGCGGCCUAUUAGCUUGUUGGUGGGGUAACGGCCCACCAAGGCGACUACGGGUAGCCGGCCUGAGGAGGGCGACCGGCCACACUGGGACUGAGAUACCGGCCCAGACUCCGUACGGGAGGCAGNAGGUAGGGG
rnacentral:rRNA from 1 species